CCUACGGGAGGCUGAACCAGCCAUGCCGCGUGAAGGUCAGUGCCCUAUGGGCGUUAAACUUCUUUUGUUCGUGAGCAAUAAUGGUCACGUGUGGCCAGACGAUAGUAACGUACGAAUAAGCAUCUGCUAACUCCGUGCCAGCAGCCGCGGUAAUACGGGGGAUGCAAGCGUUAUCCGAAUUUAUUGGGUUUAAAGGGUGCGUAGGCUGUGAUGUAAGUCAGCGGUGAAAUGCACCCGCUCAACGGGGUGAAGUGCCAUUGAUACUGGCUUGCUGGAAUGCGGAUGCGGUGGGAGGAAUGUGUGGUGUAGCGGUGAAAUGCAUAGAUAUCACACAGAACACUGAUUGCGAAGGCAUCUCACGGAUCCGCGAUUGACGCUGAUGCACGAAAGCGUGGGUAUCAAACAGGAUUAGAUACCCCAGUAGUC
rnacentral:rRNA from 1 species